GGCGUAGUAGUUUAAGUAUAGAACAUUUGCUUUACACGCAGAUAGUGAAUAAGAUAUUUCUGUCGCUA
rnacentral:tRNA from 1 species